CAAGAUAUAGCUUAAAUAAAGUAUCUAGUUUACACCUAGAAGAUUUCACUAUACCACGAAUAUCUUGA
rnacentral:tRNA from 2 species